rnacentral:rRNA from 1 species
CCUACGGGAGGCUGCAGUGGGGAAUAUUGGACAAUGGGCGAAAGCCUGAUCCAGCCAUGCCGCGUGUGUGAAGAAGGCCUUCGGGUUGUAAAGCACUUUCAGUGGGGAAGAAAGCCUUGGGGCUAAUACCCUCGAGGAAGGACAUCACCCACAGAAGAAGCACCGGCUAACUCCGUGCCAGCAGCCGCGGUAAUACGGAGGGUGCGAGCGUUAAUCGGAAUUACUGGGCGUAAAGCGCGCGUAGGCGGUCUGAUAAGCCGGUUGUGAAAGCCCCGGGCUCAACCUGGGAACGGCAUCCGGAACUGUCAGGCUAGAGUGCAGGAGAGGAAGGUAGAAUUCCCGGUGUAGCGGUGAAAUGCGUAGAGAUCGGGAGGAAUACCAGUGGCGAAGGCGGUCUUCUGGACUGACACUGACGCUGAGGUGCGAAAGCGUGGGUAGCAAACAGGAUUAGAUACCCUGGUAGUC